CGCCGGAGCCAGGAACUUAGACCUCAAGAGUGACUUAUAUAUAGGAGGAGUAGCUAAAGAAACAUACAAAUCCUUACCAAAACUUGUACAUGCCAAAGAAGGCUUUCAAGGCUGCCUGGCAUCAGUUGAUUUAAAUGGACGGCUUCCAGACCUCAUCUCCGAUGCUCUUUUCUGCAAUGGACAGAUCGAGAGAGGAUGUGAAGGGCCCAGCACAACCUGCCAAGAGGACUCAUGUUCCAAUCAAGGUGUGUGCUUACAACAAUGGGAUGGCUUCAGCUGUGACUGUAGUAUGACUUCCUUCAGUGGACCACUCUGCAAUGACCGUAAGUACCUCUCUGAGUAUGGACUGAUACUCAUCGU
rnacentral:sRNA from 1 species